AUUGAACGCUGGCGGCAGGCCUAACACAUGCAAGUCGAGCGGAUGAAGGGAGCUUGCUCCUGGAUUCAGCGGCGGACGGGUGAGUAAUGCCUAGGAAUCUGCCUGGUAGUGGGGGAUAACGUCCGGAAACGGGCGCUAAUACCGCAUACGUCCUGAGGGAGAAAGUGGGGGAUCUUCGGACCUCACGCUAUCAGAUGAGCCUAGGUCGGAUUAGCUAGUUGGUGGGGUAAAGGCCUCCCAAGGCGACGAUCCGUAACUGGUCUGAGAGGAUGAUCAGUCACACUGGAACUGAGACACGGUCCAGACUCCUACGGGAGGCAGCAGUGGGGAAUAUUGGACAAUGGGCUAAAGCCUGAUCCAGCCAUGCCGCGUGUGUGAAGAAGGUCUUCGGAUUGUAAAGCACUUUAAGUUGGGAGGAAGGGCAGUAAGUUAAUACCUUGCUGUUUUGACGUUACCAACAGAAUAAGCACCGGCUAACUUCGUG
rnacentral:rRNA from 1 species